rnacentral:lncRNA from 1 species
GAUUACAGUGGAGUACAUUGAAGCUGGUAGUUCUACUUCCCUGGGAAACAGUGGAAUAGAUCGAAGAUUACAAUCUUAUCUCCCUAAGCAGUAGUGGAGUAGAUCGCAUUAAGUCUUAUCUCCCUAAGCAGUAGUGGAGUAGACAACCACAGAUCUUAUUUCCCUAAGCAAUAGUGGAGCAGAUCGCAUCAAGUCUUAUCUCCCUAAGUAGUAGUGGAGCAGACUAAAAACACAAAUCUCAUCCCCAUGGAGUCGUAGCAGAGUAGAUUGAAGCUACAAGGCGUAUCUGAAGUUGCAGUAGAGUGGAUCGAAGCAACAAGACGUAGCAGACUGGAAUAAGGCUACUGGAAGAAGAUGAGCACCAAAAAGUCAAGACUCGGCAAGACCGGGCAAAAUUGGCCCUUUUGAUGUCUUUGCUCUAUUCUCGUUACACAAAAAUGAGCAAAGAGGGGCAGCUGUAAAGGCCUAAUUUUGGCCCAACUUAAACCAACCCUAACCAAACCCAAUUUAGCCCAACAGACUAAAACCCUAAGCCCAGCCCAAACCUAAACAAUUUUCAGCAAAAAGAGAGGAGAAGAACCCUAGCCGCCGCCCCACCUUGGCCCGCCACUACCAGUUGUCUGCCACCAGCACACCCACUUGCCUCCACCACUCUAUGCCUGCAAAAGAAGACAAAAAAGGACAGCAAAGAAAAACACCAAAAAAUGAAAUUCUUUGUAUUUUUUUUCUUUGGAUUUUGGGCUAUAUAAAAGCCCUAUGGUCAUUGUAAAGAGGGGGGACACCAUAGUAAUAAAAAGAUAGAUUUUGAAUUAGAGAAGGUGAUAUUUCGUUUUUUUUGAAAAAAAAACACACUACAAAAAUUCAAUACAAAAAAACCAAAAAAAAAAUCAGAAGAGGUGACUUUUAGUCUUUAUUCCGACUUGAUUUUCAUUUUCUUUAUUCCGACUUGAUUUUCAUUUUCUUUCUUCGUGUUUUUUUAUUUAGUGUAAAAUAAAAAAGGAAGGAACUAACCCGUGUUUGGAAACCUUUGAAUCUCUGCUUGUUUCGUCAUAAUCGAAACUUGGUAGCGAUUUAGAGUUUGCGAGUGAAAGUCACGAACUGGUGGUCCAAUGAAGCCUUGAUUGACCAUUGUUGGGUCGAAAGGAAAGGCAAGAGGAUCGUCGAUGGAGGGCUUGAAGAUCGGCCGAAUAUUGAAGAGAAAAGCUUGGUUUUCUUUCUCUUUUUUUUGAAGCGGCUAGGGGAUUUACUUAGGAUACUUAGGAUUUGCUUUUGCUGCUUUGGGGAAGAUUAAAUGGCACCGUUUCAGGCUAAUACUAAUAGCCCCAAAAUGGCACUACUUAAAAAAGAGGGUUAUUUGUAAUAUGAGUCCCUCUUCUCUUACAUGUGUCUCAUUUUAGCUUAAAUUCUAGCUUUUUAAUUUAUCCCUUAAAGUUCAUUUCUUUUUAUUUUUGGUUCCUUGACCGUUGAAUCUUGUUUAUUUUUCAUUUUUUAUUAUUUUCAAUAUUAUGCAUUUAUUUUUAUUUUCUUCAGUAUUUUAUUUACUUGCUCUUUUUAAAUUCAACCCCUUAUAUUUUGUUUUAUUUUC